rnacentral:rRNA from 1 species
UACGUAGGGUGCGAGCGUUGUCCGGAAUUAUUGGGCGUAAAGAGCUUGUAGGCGGUUUGUCGCGUCUGCCGUGAAAGCCCAGGGCUUAACCCUGGGUCUGCGGUGGGUACGGGGCAGACUAGAGUGUGGUAGGGGAGACUGGAAUUCCUGGUGUAGCGGUGAAAUGCGCAGAUAUCAGGAGAAACACCGAUGGCGAAGGCAGGUCUCUGGGCCACUACUGACGCUGAGAAGCGAAAGCAUGGGGAGCAAACAGG